rnacentral:lncRNA from 1 species
CCCCGUUUCAUCUCUCAUCCCCUUUCAUCAGAGACCAAGUUUAAAGGCCUAAACUUCCCCCACACCCUAGAACCAUCUCACUCCCCUCAUCUCAAAUCCCCAUUCCGUUUGCUUCGAAUUCCCCUGGAACUUCUCGAAUUGAAAAUCGAAAGUGAACCCUAAUAAUCCCAAAUCAAGAUUCUGUUCUAAUUUGAUUUUAUUCAUGUGUGCUUUGUAAGAACACACGAUUAAUAUCAGAUAUGGCAAAAAAUUAGAGGAUUUGAAGACUCGGGAUAUGUUCUUCAUUGUCCGAGCUUUGGUACGUAUUUUUUUCUUUUUCUCUCUGGUUCAAUCUUUUCUUCAUUUUUCUUUUUCUAUUUUUCUUCUUCUUCUUUUUUUCCAGAUCACUCCUUAUUUUUCUAGGUUCUUCAGGGACGUUUUUAUAUGCAUGUUAGUCUUAAGUCAUUUUCUUUCUUUACUCAACGAAUUUAGUCUGUUUAAUUAGUUAGUUUGGAUUUGUUAAUUUAGUUAAUUAUUUAACACUCCAUUCAGUCUAGAUUUUUAAUUUGUUUGAAAUCCUUUAAGUGUUGUUUUCCUUUGCUUUCCAUGAGAUUACAAGAUGCCUUGGAUUAUUUUUUUGGGCUUUGGGUUUCCGACCCAUUUUCAAAAAGAAAGGCAGCCGUUCAUUUAGUCAAGGCAUUGGGUUGACUUGACCCAUACAUGUUUGGGUUCCGUGUAGUAAAAAAAGUAGGGGUAUGAGGAGUAUUCUAGGUAUUGGAAUAGGAAAUCUGGGUGUAACAGAUUAAGGAAGCUUCUAAGAAGCUGGGGUUGGGACUAAUGUGGGACUUUAUUUUUAAACUGAGAGUCUCUAAGCAAUAACAAAAACUGAAAAAGGUUGAAAAUACAAAUUUGAAUUCUUUUACGCUGCCAUGCCUAUAAAGGCACAUUUUCUUCUAGCUAAAUGAGAUUUUGAAGAGAGAAAUAUCCUGAUUUAGAAACGGCUGCUUUCUUUGAUUCAAUCCUGAAAUAACCUAGAAUUUCCUGUAGUUUCCUUGUGAAAACUAUCCAACAUUCGGCUUGGUUUUAGUUUACUGAUCCUUUUUGUUAGUUAAAAUCCUGAAAAGUUUCAACUUCUUGCAUCUGAUAGAAAAUUACUUGAGUUUGGGGUUUCAAAAUUUGCUUGAGUUGCUGGUUUCUUGUGAUGACCCGACCCGUCGCCAAGUGAGUUACUGCCCCAUUUUUUCUAUUUACUGCUUCUUUAUGCUUCAUUAUGAGUGUUUUGAGUGAACGAGUUGAUUUACAUUGAAUUGAGAAGGAAAUGGGACACUUAGUCUCUUUAAGGAAGGUUUGUUUGGAAAAGUCAACCGGACAUUGACUUAUGUGCUAGGAGGCUCGGAUGUGAAUUUUGAUGAUUUGGUUAGCUUCGGGGGAUAAUUUGUGACUUAGUAAUGUUAUCUGAUGUGAUUUUGGAGGUCCGGUGUAAAUUAGGCUUGAAUUGGCGAAGUUAGUAUUUUGGCGAAUUCCGGUUGGCAGGUGAGAUUUUUAUCCGAGGGUCAGAAUGGAAUUUCAAGAGUUUUGUAGCUUCGUUAGGUGAUUUGGGAUAUGUAUGAAAAAUUUUAGGUCAUUCGAAGGUGUUUUUCUUGGGUUUUUAAUCAAAUGCGUGUUUCGGAAGUUUUAGAAGAACAUAGGCUUGAAUCCGAUGUAAUUUGAUGGUUUUGGUUUUGUUUGUGGUGUUUUGAUGAUUGGAGGAAGUUUGAAUGAUGUUUUAGGAUGGGUUGGCUCUUUUGGUUGAGGUCCCCGGGGCCUCGGGUGAGUUUCCGAUGGCUAAACGGGAAGUUUUAAACUUGGAAAUGCAGCAGCAGUUGCAGGCCUCCCAAAUGCGAGAAAAGGGUUUGUAUUUGCGAAAAGGCUAGCCUGAGGUAGGGUUCACAUUUACGAUUGUUUGAUCGCAAUUGCGACCUUGGUAGGGUUUGCAUUUGCGAGAAAUGUGUCGCAUAUGCGACCUUGGAAGGGUCCGCAAUUGCGAGCCAGAUGUCGCAUUUGUGACCUUGGACGGAGAGGCUCACCUUCGCAAUUCAGAAGGUUUUGUCGCAUUUGCGAACCAGGUGUCGCAAAUGCGACAUCUGAGGGUUGUGUCCAGUUAUAAAAAAUCGAACUUAGCCAGUUUCCCUCACUUCCCACUUGGCUUUGGGCAAUUUGUGAGAGCUUUUGGACGGAUAUUGAAGAGGGUAUCUACUGGGAUUGAUUGGAGGUGAGUUCUAUGAACUAAAAACAUUAUUUAAUUGUAGAAUCAACCUAGAAAUUCAUGUAAUCUUAGCAAAAAUGGGGGAAGAACUAGGGCUUAUGUUUUGGUAUUGCAAAUUGGGAUUUGAGGGGUCAUUUGGACUCCGAUUUUGGUGUUCUUUAUAUGUAUAAACGCAUGGCGAGAUAAGGAACCGGUUUGUAUAAGUAUUUCUGAGUUUGAAGAAGUGAGCCCGGGGCUCGGGUUCAGCUAAUUUCAAGAUUUUUGCUAUUUUUUGAUUGCGUAUUGUUCCAUUGGCAUAUUGUGACGUAUUCUUUCUGGCUUUAUCGAAUUCAACAUGUGAGGAGGUCGACUUGAAAGGCAAAGGCAUAGCGAGCUAGGAUUUUGGCCAGCUUGAGAUGAGUAAUAGAUGUAAAUGAUGUCUUGAGCGUUUGAAAUCCCGUAUUUGCGCAUCGUUGUGUUAUAAUGAGAUGACUUGCACGCCAGGUAGUGACCGUGGGUUAGAGCACCGUUGGGGAUUGUGACUUGGUCCAUCCCGAUAAAUGAAUAUACUUUGUAUUUAACUGAAAUUCCUUAUUAUUAUUAUUAUGAUUUGAGAUGAUUCCUAUGUUUGAGCUUUGUGCCAAUUGAUUGAAUCCUCCAGGGAUUGCUACUACCGGUUUCUUACCUUUUUUAAGUAUUAUUGAACUUAGUCCUGGCAUUUAAUACUACUUUUCAAACUCAGCCAUUUUUUCUCAAACUUGAAACUUAAAUAAUGUUUCUAUGAAGUUUGGGCUGAAUAUUUAUAUAUCGUUGUGCCCGAGGGGCUUAUGUGAUUCUGGACUGAGCAUGGGAUCGGGCUGCGCGCCGCAGCAGUACUAUAUUGAUAUUGAUAUGAGACCGAAGGCCUAGUUGAUACUACGAGAUUGCUUAUAUUGCACUUGGGCCGUAAGGGGCCCCUCCCGGAGUUUGCACACCUCAGUCAGCGCCGUCGAUGAUAAACAAAAGGGAGCGCGCUGCACGCUGCAGCAGGUACUAGAGAGUACCGGACUAUGUGUUGCAUUUCAUUUUUGCAUGUCAUUUACUUACUAUUUGUUGUAGCAUUUCCAUGAUUGUUGUUAUUAGUUUACUGAUUGACUUCUAUCUGGUUCAGGUUGCUGUAUUUAUAGAAUUACUUUGUGCCUAUUCGGGAUUUCUUAUUCUCAGCAUUUAUUUAUGUUUAUUAUUAACUGGGUCGGAGUACUCACAUUACUCCCUGCACCUUGCGUGCAGAUCCAUGUACAUCUGAGGUUGAGUUAGGAUUUCUCUACCGAGCAGUUUAUUCGGGAGCAUCAAGGUAGCUGUAUGACGUCUGUAGUCCUGAUCUUCCUUCUACCUUAUUUGCUUUAUUGUCGCAUUUCUAUAGAACGAUAUGUAGUAGAUUGAUACUCGGGUAUUAGAGGCUCAGACUUAUGACACCGGAUUCUUCGGGCUGUGUAGUUUACUCGAGAUUCUGCAUGUUUUAGUUCUUAUUUCAGACUUUCAAUAUUAUGAUUUAGUAAAUUAUCUGUGUUAAUUAACUCCUGAUUGGUAUAAAAUGGUUAAGGUUAUUGAAUUGGUCGGGCUUUCCUAGAAGUGUGGUGGGAGCCAUCACGACAGGGGUUGGGGCCGUGACAAGUUGGUAUUAGGGCCUAGGUUACUUGGUCUCGCGAGUCAUGAGCCGGUUUAGUAGAGUCUUGCGGAUCGAUGCGGAAACGUCUGUACUUAUCCUCGGGAGGCUGCAGAACCUUUAGGUAAACUUCACAUUCUUGAAAUUCUUGUCGUGCGGCUUUGUUGAACUGAGAAAUAAACUUCUAAUAAUAGUGGUGAGUACACGAACCACCGGACAUGGUGGACGACCACCUACUGAGGCCACCAGAGUCCAUGGACGCGGUCGUGGUCAUGGCAGAGGCGGAGCAGCCGGGGUAGCACCUGCUGAUCCACCAAUUGCCCCAGAUCAGGAUGAGGCUCUAGCUGCAGACACACCAGCAGCACCUGUUCAGACACUAGCUAUGCCUAUCAUGAUUCUGGGUCUUCAGGAGACCUUGGCACAUAUAUUAUCAGUCUACACUAGCCUGGCUCAGGCAGUUUUAGUUACCACGGCAGCAGCAGCUACUUCACAGGCCGGGGGAGGCAAUUAGACCCCCGUUGCUCGCACACCUGAGCAGGUGGUGCAGGGACUGAGCUACCGGACGUGGCGGACGAGCACCAGUACAACCUACUGAGGCCGCUAGAGGCCUUGGACGCAGUUAUGGUCGUGGCAGAGGCGGAGCAGCCGAGGCAGCACCUGUUGAGCCACCAGUUGCCCCAGCUCAGGAUCAAGCUCCAGCUAUAGACACACCAGCAGCACCUAUUCAGGCACAAGCUGUGCCUAUCGUGAUUCCGGGUCUUCAAGAUACCUUGGCACAUAUAUUAUCAGUCUGCACUGUUCUGGCUCACGCAGUUUCAGUUACCACAACAACAACAGCUACUUCACAGGAGGGGGGAGGCAAUCAUACCCCCGCUACUUGCAUACCUGAGCAGGUGGUGCAGGGACUACAAACACCAGAGGCACCUCCAGCUCAGCAGGUUGCACAAGUUCAGGGCUUUGUGGUUCCAGCCAUGCCAGAAGAUUAGCAGCGUCAUCUCGAGAGGUUCGGUGGGAUCUAGCCUCCGACAUUUAGUGGUGCUGAGGGCGAGAAUGCCCAGGGUUUUCUUGACAUGUGUACCGGUGUACCGGUCAUGUGUAACUGAAAUUCCUUAUUAUUAUUAUUAUUAUGAUUUGAGCUGGUUGUUAUGCUUGAGCUUUGUGCCAAUUGAUUGAAUCCUUCAGGGAUUGCUACUAGUGGUUUCUUACUAUUUUUACGUAUUAUUGAACUUAGUCCUGGCAUUUAAUACUAUUUUUCAAACUCAGCCAUCUUUACUCAAACUUGAAACUUAAAUAAUAUUUCUAAUGAAGUUUGUGCUGAAUAUUUAUAUAGUGUUGUGCCCGAGGGUCUUAUGUGAUUAUGGACUGAGCAUGGGAUCAGGCUGCGCGCCGCAACAGCACUAUAUUGAUAUUGAUAUGAGGCCGAGGGCCUAGUUGAUGUCAUGAGAUGGUUUAUAUUGCACUUGGGCCGUAAAGGGCCCUUCUCGGGGUCUGCACACCCCCAGUGAGCGUCGUCGACGAUAAAUAAAGGGAGCGGGCUGUACACCGUAGCGGGUACUAGAGAGUACCAAACUAUGUGUUGCAUUUCAUAUUUGCAUGUCAUGUACUUACUAUCUGUUGUAGCAUUUCCAUAAUUGUUUUUAUUGGUUUAUUGAUGGAAUACUAUCUGGUUCAGGUUGCUAUAUUUAUAGAAUAACUUUGUGACUAUUCAGGAUUUCUUAUUCUCAGCUUUUACUUAUGUUUAUUACUCACUGGUUCGGAGUACUCACAUUAAUCCUUGCACCUUGCAUGCAGAUCUAGGUAUAUCUGAGGCUGAGUGAGGAUUUCCCUACCGAGUAGUAUAUUCAGUCCUCUUCUACCUUAUUUGCUUUAUUUUCGCAUUUCUCUAUAAUGAUAUGUGGUAGCUUGAUGCUCAGGUAUUAGAGGCUCAGACUUGUGACACCAGAUUCUUUGGGCUGUGUAGUUAUUUUUAUUACUUGGGAUUCCAUAUGUUUUAGUUCUUAUUUUAGACUUUCAAUAUUAUGAUUUAGUAAAUUAUCUGUGUUAAUUAACUCCUGAAUGAUAUAAAAUGGUUAAGGUUACUGACUUGGUCAGGCUUGCCUAGCAGUGUGUUUAGUGCCAUCACGACUGGGGUUGGGGUCGUGACAUUUCUACACUGCUGGGUUGUUGUUUUUCUGUUGCUGCUUCUCUCCUGAUCUUAAGUUUUGUUUCUGUAUUUGUUUGCUAUCUUCAAGUAUUCCUCACCUCCUUGGCAUGCGGAAUGGAAGAACAAGAGUUUAUUGGAUUAAAUGGCAAAUUGUGUCAUAUUAGCUUGUAAAUGUAGUGUCUUAUGUUUCUGGAAAUCAAUCAGAUUUUAUAAUUAGAUUAGUUUCCUUGUUACAUCUAUUUCUUUCUGUUUCAUUUUGAGUUUGGUUUGUAACUUUGGAUGGAUUGUGAGCUUUAGCCAAUUAGUACAGAUGAGUUUGAGUUCUGUUUUCGUAUAAAUGAACUUUCAAAGGCUUUUGUAAAAACUCAUUUGAUUUUUGUAGGUUUGGGGUAUUUGUUUAGUUUCUGCUAGGAUUGGUACUAUUUUAACAUUGAUUUAUAUCUAAAUGUGUUAAAAAUGCUAAGUGAUGGUUUGCUUGCUUAUAGCUAGAAACAUGAUCCCACCAUUCUAUGUUUUGGUGUUUAGCUUGCCUUUGUUUGAAAAUGUUUUUUUUUUCAAAUAGACUCUGAACUUGAAAUUGGAGCUAAAGAUUUUCAAAUCUAGUUUAAAUUCUUACAUUUGGUUUCCGUUAGAAAGUUUGGGUUGUAUAGCGUUGUUUAAAUGUGUUACACUGACAUCGGAAUUUAGCAUAAAUAUAGAUCUCUGAAUGUAAAAGGAGAAGCAAUUUGUAUAAAUGUUUGAUUAUCACUUUGGGAACUCUAAUCUCAGUAUAUAAUGUGUGCAGAGUUCAGAAGUUUUUUUUGUAUGUGAAUAAAGAUAUUUGUACUCAUCCGAAUUCAAAUAUUGACAUGGGACUUGUGCGGUCUUUCCAAAUGUUGUAUUCUGGAGUACAAAAUCGAUUUGUCAGCUCCAGCCCAACAAAGCCGAAGUUUCCAUUCGCCUAUUUUCAUGUUCGACUUGGGCUCCC